UCAGGGCUGCCCACCCCCGUGCCCACACAGGGCCGGGCAGAGCUAGGUGGACUCGCAUGCCUGGGGCCUGGCAGCUGGAACAGGAGAACAUUAGCAAGAAAGCGUUGCACACAUGUUUAUUGCUAGGGAACAGUGGGUAACAAGGAGGAGUGAUAGCAAGGAGCACAGGUUAGUAUGCCAGAGUGCCAGUAGGAGAAAUCAGGAAGUAACUCACUUCAAGGGCAGGAGAGAAAAGAGGCUUCGAUGGAGUUAGAAGGGAAAAGGUUAUACGGUCAGCUACUUCUCAAUGUCUGGUGGAGUUCCAGCUCACUGGCACUGAGGAAAUGCAGGCUCCCCGUCUCCACCAGCAUCAUGUUCCAUCGCCCAGUGAACAGGUGGGCGAGAGAGUUGAUAGAAGGAGCAGACGAUUUCACUCAUUCAGCAUAAACAACUUCAGACGCCUUAUCUUCUUCAGGUCCUUCGAGGUCCUCUGAAGUCUUUGGUGUUCAAUUGAGAACUCAAGUCAUAAUCCUCCUCCACGUUUAAGAAGAACAAAAUACAUCUUUGCAUUUUGCAGAAACACUUACUAAGAUUAAACAUAGUGAUCUUUUAUGAUUACUUUAAUUACA